GCGCUCGUGGUCUAACGGAUAAGGCGCCAGCCUCCGGAGCUGGUUAUCCGGGUUCGAUUCCCGGCGAGCGCACUA
rnacentral:tRNA from 1 species